AAAAAAUUAAACUAUUUAAUUAAUUAAAAUUUAUUUAAAAAUAUAAUAAUAUUAAAUUAU
rnacentral:tRNA from 1 species